rnacentral:rRNA from 1 species
AUGAACGCUGGCGGCGUGCCUAAUACAUGCAAGUCGAGCGAACAGACGAGGAGCUUGCUCCUCUGACGUUAGCGGCGGACGGGUGAGUAACACGUGGAUAACCUACCUAUAAGACUGGGAUAACUUCGGGAAACCGGAGCUAAUACCGGAUAAUAUAUUGAACCGCAUGGUUCAAUAGUGAAAGACGGUUUUGCUGUCACUUAUAGAUGGAUCCGCGCCGCAUUAGCUAGUUGGUAAGGUAACGGCUUACCAAGGCAACGAUGCGUAGCCGACCUGAGAGGGUGAUCGGCCACACUGGAACUGAGACACGGUCCAGACUCCUACGGGAGGCAGCAGUAUGGAAUCUUCCGCAAUGGACGAAAGCCUAACGGAGCAACGCCGCGUGAGUGAUGAAGGUCUUCGGAUCGUAAAACUCUGUUAUUAGGGAAGAACAAAUGUGUAAGUAACUAUGCACGUCUUGACGGUACCUAAUCAGAAAGCCACGGCUAACUACGUG